AGAGAGAGGUAUUGGAAUUGAAUUUUGAGAUUCUUCUUUCUCACCAAUUUCCCAUUUCCACUGAGCAGGACUUGCAGUUUCCAAGCCAGAUAUGAUUCACCAUCUAGAGCAAGGGGGAGUGCCAUGGAGGGCAGAGGAAGAAGUCCUAAGAUGGGGCUGCCCAGUUUUGGCCACCAAGCCUGAAGCCAAGGAAUUAUUUCCAAACCUGGUCAUUUCCAUCGAACAAGUAGCUCAAGAAAAGCUCACAAGGCAAGGUCUCUGUGCCUCCAAGCUUCCAGGCAUGGCUGCUCCUCUGUGUGCUUCACCUCCAUCACAGCUCCACCUGCUCUGAUGCUGACGUUUCUUCAUUAUCCCUGUGCUUCUCUGGGGAUUCACGAGCUUUAAUCCUUCAUGCUGCAGGAAUAAUCCUGGCCCUUGGCUGUGAAGAAUGCUGGCAGGCAAGUGCAGGUGUUAGGAUUAGACUUUGUAGUGGAGUGGCUGAAGUGUCAACAGAGAAAAGCUUCCCACUCCCACUGAAACUGGGCAAAAAAGGAAAGGAGAAGAAAAAGAAGAGAACGAGGAAGUGGAAAAUGUCAUCAUUGCAGAUGGCAAGCGGGAGAGAAGCUCACUCAGGUUUCCACACUGAUCGUUUGGAAAGUGACAGCCUUUGCAAUUUCCUGGAAUGCAAACAGUUCUGAGGAUUGAUCUCUCAAAUAGUAUCCCAAGCCUCCAGGAUCCCUGGCUGCCCUUCUAUUAAUAUUGAUUAACAUGCUUAAAAUCCUUCUCACAUUCAUAGUUUAUGAC
rnacentral:lncRNA from 1 species